rnacentral:rRNA from 1 species
UACGGGGGGGGCAAGCGUUGUUCGGAAUUACUGGGCGUAAAGGGCUCGUAGGUGGCCAACUCAGUCAGACGUGAAAUCCCUCGGCUUAACCGGGGAACUGCAUCUGAUACUGGAUGGCUUGAGAUUGGGAGAGGGACGCGGAAUUCCAGGUGUAGCGGUGAAAUGCGUAGAUAUCUGGAGGAACACCGGUGGCGAAGGCGGCGUCCUGGACCAACACUGACACUGAGGAGCGAAAGCCAGGGGAGCAAACGGG